GCAUAGAGGAUAGCUCAGUUGGCAAAGCAUUAGGCUCUUCAUCUCAAGGUUGUGGGUUUGAGCCCCAUGUUGGGCA